AAUAUUGCACAAUGGGCGCAAGCCUGAUGCAGCCAUGCCGCGUGUAUGAAGAAGGCCUUCGGGUUGUAAAGUACUUUCAGCAGUGAGGAAGGUGGGUAUGUUAAUAGCAUACUCAUUUGACGUUAGCUGCAGAAGAAGCACCGGCUAACUCCGUGCCAGCAGCCGCGGUAAUACGGAGGGUGCGAGCGUUAAUCGGAAUUACUGGGCGUAAAGCGCAUGCAGGUGGUUUGUUAAGUCAGAUGUGAAAGCCCGGGGCUCAACCUCGGAAUUGCAUUUGAAACUGGCAAACUAGAGUACUGUAGAGGGGGUAGAAUUUCAGGUGUAGCGGUGAAAUGCGUAGAGAUCUGAAGGAAUACCGGUGGCGAAGGCGGCCCCCUGGACAGAUACUGACACUCAGAUGCGAAAGCGUGGGGAGCAAACAGGAUUAGAUACCAUGGGUAG
rnacentral:rRNA from 1 species